GACAAACAUAUUCAUCCAUCGUCUUGCUGCAAAUAUCAAUUUCACCCUCUCACAUUGUUUAGUUAAAUAAGCAAACAGGUAAAAAUGGUAGAGCCUUUGGUACUAUUCAAUUCUUAAUUACUUUACCUGAGUUCCUCUGAAAUGUUUGGGAUCUGACAGAUAUUUGAAGUUGGUUUAUGUGAGAUGAAGAAACUGCUUUCCCAAUCUGCAUCUGAGGUUUUGCCUUCACUCAAAGCCUUGACCAUCUCUGACUGGUAAAACUUCUCUUUCAAAUGCUCCUCAUAGUGAGAGUUAAUCAUCUUCUUCACUUUCUCCAUCAACUCUUUAUCAAUUCCAUGAUUAUCAACCUGAAAAUUCACUAACUCUUUAAGGAUAUACAGUAGACAUAUCUUAGAAAACACUGCCUUGUGCAUAAAGAUGUUAUACAUACCAUGAAGAAUCCCCACUUAUCACAUGCAUGAUCAAGAAGUGACAUGGUCUUGCUUCUCUUCUCUCCAUCCAACUCUGCAAAAUCAAUAACUGGAAUCUCCAUCUCUCUCUCUUUGAUCAAAACCAUCUCUUUUUUAUUUACUUUUUCUCACACACAGAUUUGUUGAAUGCAAUCUAGAAAGAGUAUUUAUAGGCAUAAGUGAAAAUUAAAUCUCUGUUUCUCUUGUGUGUUAGGAGGCAUAGUUGCCUACUUGGAGGCAAAAACAAUAGUUUCUUUCAACACUAUUCUGUUAACUCAUUGAAUUUGAAGCAUCAUUACGUUUAAUGAAUAAAAAAUUGUAUAAGAAUCUGCUUUGGAAAUGUAAAAUGAACAAUAGGAUUGAAGAAAAGUCCAAGUUCAGUCCAUACAACCAUGUG
rnacentral:lncRNA from 1 species